rnacentral:rRNA from 1 species
UACGUAGGGGGCUAGCGUUGUCCGGAAUCAUUGGGCGUAAAGCGCGUGUAGGCGGUUCGGUAAGUCCGCUGUGAAAGUCGAGGGCUCAACCCUCGAAUGCCGGUGGAUACUGUCGGGCUAGAGUGCGGAAGAGGCGAGUGGAAUUCCUGGUGUAGCGGUGAAAUGCGCAGAUAUCAGGAGGAACACCAAUUGCGAAGGCAGCUCGCUGGGACGUUACUGACGCUGAGACGCGAAAGCCAGGGGAGCAAACGGG